UGAAGGUCCGGNCNUUAUCCGGUAUUUAUUGCNNUUAAAGGNANCGUACGCCGGAGAUUAAGCGUGUUGUGAAAUGUACAUGCUCAACGCCUGCACUGCAACGCGAACUGGUUUCCUUGAGUACGCACAAAGUGGGCGGAAUUCGUGGUGUAGCGGUGAAAUGCUUAGAUAUCACGAAGAACUCCGAUUGCGAAGGCAGCUCACUGGAGCGCAACUGACGCUGAAGCUCGAAAGUGCGGGUAUCGAACAGGAUUAGAUACCCUGGUAGUCCGCGCGGUAAACGAUGGAUGCCCGCUGUUGGUCUGAAUAGGUCAGCGGCCAAGCGAAAGCAUUAAGCAUCCCACCUGGGGAGU
rnacentral:rRNA from 1 species